AAUUAUUUUUAUUUCUAGCUAAGAUGGGCAUGUUGCAGUUAUGACAGUUAUAAAUUUUAUCUUAGUAAUAUCUCAGUGAUAUUAAGAUUGGAUUUGCUUAAUAUUUCUUUCAAAAUAGAGUAUGAAUGGGACUUAGUUGAAAUGCAAAGAAUGAGCUGAACGUAUCUUGACAUUUAUUAGGUAUGAAAAGUUAUGAAUGGGGCUUACUUGAAAUGCAAGGAAGGAGCUAAACUAAUCUUGACAUUUAUUAGGUAUGAAAAGUUAUGAAUGGGGCUUACUUGAAAUGCAAGGAAGGAGCUAAACUAAUCUUGACAUUUAUUAGGUAUGAAUGGGACUUAGUUGAAAUGCAAAGAAUGAGCUGAACGUAUCUUGACAUUUAUUAGGUGUGUAUAUUUAUG